rnacentral:rRNA from 1 species
CCUACGGGAGGCAGCAGUGAGGAAUAUUGGGCAAUGGGCGAGAGCCUGACCCAGCCAAGCAGCGUGAAGGAAGAAGGCUUUAGGGUUUUUAAAUUCUUUUGACAUGGGAGUGUAGAUGACGGUACAUGUCGAUUAAUCCACGGCUAACUACGUGCCAGCAGCCGAGGCAAUACGUAGGACGCCAGUGUUAUCCGGGUUUACUGGGUUUAAAGGGCGUGUAGCCGGUUUGACAAGUCAGAUGUGAAAGCCUGCGGCUUAACCGUAGAACUGCAGUUGAUACUGUGUGUCUUGAGUAUUGGAGAGGCAGACGGAAUUCGUAGUGUAGCGGUGAAAUGCGUAGAUAUUAGGAGGAACACCAGUGGCGAAGGCAGUCUGCUGGACAGCAACUGACGGUGAUGCGCGAAAGCGUGGGGAGCAAACAGGAUUAGAUACCCCAGUAGUC